rnacentral:rRNA from 1 species
UGAGUAACCUGCCCUGAACUCUGGGAUAAGCGUUGGAAACGACGUCUAAUACCGGAUAGGACCUUGGGUCGCAUGACCUGGGGUGGAAAGUUUGUCGGUUUGGGAUGGACUCGCGGCCUAUCAGCUUGUUGGUGAGGUAAUGGCUCACCAAGGCGUCAACGGGUAGCCGGCCUGAGAGGGUGACCGGCCACACUGGGACUGAGACACGGCCCAGACUCCUACGGGAGGCAGCAGUGGGGAAUAUUGCACAAUGGGCGCAAGCCUGAUGCAGCAACGCCGCGUGCGGGAUGACGGCCUUCGGGUUGUAAACCGCUUUUAGUAGGG